CAGGGCGUGCAAACAGGUUUCAACUAAAACACAUAACGCAGGCUCAGUGGGUUAACUGUUAUUGCGCAGAAAUAUAUCCAUAACGUUUUGUUUUUCCAAUGUAUUUUUUUAAUUGCAGCGCUGCCGUUUUCAAUUUGGUGACACCAAUAAUUCAAUGCUGCUUUUAAAAGCAUCCGGGCGCGCACACACACACACACACACAUCCUCCGUCCGUCCCACCCACCCGGCACACAACCACCUGAACAACUCCAUUUAGGGAGGGACGGGUCCGGGUUCGCUCGCCCGCGAUCGUAAGCGGGGAAUGUCGAUUUUUUCCGAAUGAAUGCGAUACGAUUUGGACAGACCCAUGCUCUGUGGGAGAUUAGCGCAUCAGACAGGCUGGGAGACCAGGUGCUGUCUAUCGGCGUGUAUGACACACCGUUAACACAUGAGAGCCGCACAGCUAAACUUUCGAGGACACUGUAACAGCGGGUCUGUAUGUGUGUGUGUGUGUUUAUCAGCGCUUGGACAGAACAGCACUUUUUAUUUUUUUUUGCUACAGUGUUGCAAUGUCGUUUUUUUCCCUUAGGUGGGCACAUGUUGCUGGAAUUUGAAUUGGAAAUGUUGCAAUGUAUCCCAAGGAUCGCCUUACAUGGCCGCGCAUAGAAAAUUAACGUGAACAGCGCGGAUUCGUUAAGAUGUAAGAAGUGAGCCACCACGGACGAGGGGUGCUGAAAAACAAACCAUCUCUCCUGUCCUCAUCACUUCGAGUUUGUCAGACUAUUUUAUGCUAACGUGGAGGAGGUUGCCUCUAUACUACUGGAGGGAUCGGCUGCAAGGAACCCCCCGUGUAAAGUAGCUGGAUUUAUCAACUCUCCUAGGUGUUGGCAGACACUGCGUUUGAGGAGAGAUGACCACCCCACCUCUUAAUGACUCACGGGAUGUGCUGAAGAUUCCUGCGGGAGGCUGGGAACACGGAUCCAGAUGACUGAGUGCUGUGUAUAGCGAAGGGAGGAAGUUGGAAUUACUCAUCAGGACAUGUGGAAUCUCAUAUAUCUGCAGGUUAGAGCCAGCCUGUCCCUCCAAUGAGCCGAAGCCCAUGGAGCCUGGGACGUUUUUCUCCUGUCAGCAAAACGCGAACAAGAGUCCUUUCUGUGUCUGCCGCACAGAGCCUUCAGAAUACAGCAUGCAGAAACUAAACUGGCAAGUUAGCAUGACCCGUUUUACAGCAGUUACUCACCGCCAGCGUAGGAGUUGUUUAGCCUGAUGGACCUGCAGAAGGAAAAGUUUGUAUUUUACUGCUUUAAUGCACUUUAAUAAAUGCACGUGUCUCUGCUAGUUUGGGAGGUUUGAGCUGACAAUGCAGUUAUAAAUAAAUUCAAGGCUUUUGUAUUGUUUCUGACUUCCAGCUGUAUGGAAUGUGGAAAUGUAUUGUGUUGCUUUGAGAUGAUCUUUUCCAGACUGCGCUGGGCUGUGAGUGAUGGACUGGAGGAUUGCAGGGAGGCCUGGCUCAAUCCCGACACAGAAAGGAUUCUGGGAAUGGUCCAGAGUAGGGAUUAGAACCUCUCCCUCCCUCUCUCCUACAGCUCCACCGGGACGCACUGCGGACUGGCUAUGGGGGUCUGCGGGCUCUGAGAGUUCAGAAGGACCUUGCCUUUCCUGAACCCUUUCUGCAGUUUGCCAUGGUGUUCCCAUGGUAGGCAUCUACUGCGUGUUGGCAGCACGCUUUCCCAUUUCUCAUUCUUUACCAGGUUUUCACCAUGCUUUGACUACACUUCAAAAUACAUGUUAUCGUACAUUGUCAAAACGAUAUGAUAGGGAAAUAUCUUUGUUAAAUGCCUGUUGUUAAUGUAUUAUAAAUAUCAGUAAAUGCUUACAACAGUGUAACUUGGUUAAUUUAAUGUGUCUGUAUCGAAGUGUCUCUUAAAGUUUACCAUGGUAAAUUUGCAGCUUUCCCCUGCUUAUAGUAUUUUAAGAUGCUUUACCAUACCUCUCUGGGCUUUACAUUGCAUACCUAUGCUCUACAUGCUUUAUUAGACUUUGCUAUCGCUUUACUUUGACUAUGUUACAACACCUUGAACUUCCACAACUUCCAGUGUGAUUGCUUUCCAACCCAUUCAACAAGACUGCAUAGAAAUAUUUAUUCACUUCAAAUAUUGUUCUAUUUUGUGGUGCGGAAUGCGGAUAUAUUUCAGCACAGCCAAUAUUACUUGAAACCUUCCAUUUACUUUCCAUCCUAUUACAUCUGAAUCUCAUCUUGUGUUUUAUUGUAUGUAUUCUUUUAAGUCGCAAGCUGUACUUAAUAAAUGAUUUAAAGUAAAA